AUAAAACUUUUGAUGGGAGCUAUGUUCUGGUAAGUUAAUAUAUAGCAUCUAAGAAUGCAAGGCUGUAAUAAAUAAUAUACAUAAUAAAAUCAAGGAUAAAAUUACCAAAAAUAGACCAAGUGGAUGAAACAAAAGCCGCAUUUGGCAUACCUUGUUUAACUCUUGGUGUAUCAAUUAGUGUAGAAUAUUUUGUAUUUUAUUAAAUAUGAAAGCUGUGUUUGAGUGAAAGUCAGUCAUAUUAUUCAUAAAACACCAAGUUCCCUUUCUUGUGCUCAGGUUGCUCAGUAUCUGAACUUGGAGCUACCCAUCUUGGAUCAGUUUCUGCUCAAACUCGGAGAGGAGGAAAACAGAGAGAUUCAAAGGGUCAUCAACAAGUACCAACACCAGCACAGACUGCUGUCCCAUAUGCUGAGCUUUAAGAUGUCCCCUCACAUAGAGACCAGUGUCUGACCACUUCCGAACUCAGUGAAAGGAAGAAAAAGUAUCUCUGAGGAACUAAAAACAUCUGAAAACAUUUUCUUUUUAGUGACAUUUGGACAAUGAAAAAGCAUUUGGCAAAAAA